GAUGAACGCUGGCGGCGUGCCUAAUACACGCAAGUCGAGCGAACAGAUGAGGAGCUUGCUCCUCUGACGUUAGCGGCGGACGGGUGAGUAACACGUGGAUAACCUACCUAUAAGACUGGGAUAACUUCGGGAAACCGGAGCUAAUACCGGAUAAUAUAUUGAACCGCAUGGUUCAAUAGUGAAAGACGGUUUUGCUGUCACUUAUAGAUGGAUCCGCGCCGCAUUAGCUAGUUGGUAAGGUAACGGCUUACCAAGGCAACGAUGCGUAGCCGACCUGAGAGGGUGAUCGGCCACACUGGAACUGAGACACGGUCCAGACUCCUACGGGAGGCAGCAGUAGGGAAUCUUCCGCAAUGGGCGAAAGCCUGACGGAGCAACGCCGCGUGAGUGAUGAAGGUCUUCGGAUCGUAAAACUCUGUUAUUAGGGAAGAACAAAUGUGUAAGUAACUAUGCACGUCUUGACGGUACCUAAUCAGAAAGCCACGGCUAACUACGUG
rnacentral:rRNA from 1 species